rnacentral:RNase_P_RNA from 1 species
AGUUGACUGGGCAAUCGCUGCUAGAACACGUGCGCUAAGGCAUACGGUUUUGGGGGAGGAAAGUCCGGGCUCCAUAGGACAGGGUGCCAGAUAACAUCUGGGGGGCGCGAGUCCACGACCAGUGCAACAGAGAGCAGACCGCCGAUGGCCUUAGGGCUCAGGUAAGGGUGAAAGGGUGCGGUAAGAGCGCACCGCGUUGCUAGCAAUAGUUAACGGCACGGUAAACUCCACCCGGAGCAAGAUCAAAUAGUCUUCCAUAGGGCGUGGUCCGCGCUGGGAAGCGGGUAGAUUGCUGGAGCUUAAGCGCGAGCUUAAGCCUAGAGGAAUGAUUGCCACUCGCAAGAGAACAGAACCCGGCUUAUAGGUCAACUCA